CCAUCUGUUGAUGAUGAGGAAAAAAAAGACCUGCCGCAACAUCUGUUUCGUGUUGCAUGGAACAUUCAAAUCUCUCAUUGAAAAUGCAACAUACAGAUAAAACACUUGCAACAUGUGUGUGAAACAUAUGCAACAUCGCAACAUCUAGAUCUACUUUGCAACAUUCACAUGAAACACUUGCAACAUUAUUCUGAAAAAUCUGAAACACUUGAAACAUACGCUUGCAACAUGCAGCAAGGCCUGGCAAGAGGAGCACUGCACAGUGGGAUCCGAAGCUAGAAAACGGUGGAGGAGGAGGAGGAUGGCGGGCCGACGCGGCUCGCCCCUAACCGCGGGGGAGCGGUGCUCGGCACCCUUCCCCAUGGAGCUCCUCAGGCGGCCAAGCCCAUUGUCGGUGGCGCCACCACAUCGCUCGCCACAGAUCGCAUAGGCCACCGCCAUUGCUGAGCUAGAACUCCACCCCGUAUGGGGAUCUCAUUGUCACCAUCGGCAACCUUGCUUGGAUGAGGGUCGUGUGCAGAGGGGCCACACCACCGCAGCUCAGACAAGAGCUCAUCUGGAUUGGAAGCAAGGGAGAGAGAUAGGAGAGAUAAAUGAGUGGUUGAAGCUCGAGCUCCAUUGGUUGCAGUCUUGCAGGUUGCAACACUUAGCGAGCAGGGAGAAAGAAUAGGGGAUUUGGUUGCUUGG
rnacentral:lncRNA from 1 species